AACAGGAUUAGAUACCCUGGUAGUCCAUGCCGUAAACGAUGUCUACUAGCCGUUGGGGCCUUUGAGGCUUUAGUGGCGCAGCUAACGCGAUAAGUAGACCGCCUGGGGAGUACGGUCGCAAGACUAAAACUCAAAUGAAUUGACGGGGGCCCGCACAAGCGGUGGAGCAUGUGGUUUAAUUUGAUGCAACGCGAAGAACCUUACCUGGCCUUGACAUACUAAGAACUUUCCAGAGAUGGAUUGGUGCCUUCGGGAACUUAGAUACAGGUGCUGCAUGGCUGUCGUCAGCUCGUGUCGUGAGAUGUUGGGUUAAGUCCCGCAACGAGCGCAACCCUUUUCCUUAUUUGCCAUCGGGUAAUGCCGGGAACUUUAAGGAUACUGCCAGUGACAAACUGGAGGAAGGCGGGGACGACGUCAAGUCAUCAUGGCCCUUACGGCCAGGGCUACACACGUGCUACAAUGGUCGGUACAAAGGGUUGCUACCUCGCGAGAGGAUGCUAAUCUCAAAAAGCCGAUCGUAGUCCGGAUCGCAGUCUGCAACUCGACUGCGUGAAGUCGGAAUCGCUAGUAAUCGCGGAUCAGAAUGCCGCGGUGAAUACGUUCCCGGGCCUUGUACACACCGCCCGUCACACCAUGGGAGUUUGUUGCACCAGAAGUAGGUAGUCUAACCGCAAGGAGGACGCUUACCACGGUGUGGCCGAUGACUGGGGUGAAGUCGUAACAAGGUAACC
rnacentral:rRNA from 1 species